AGUGAACGCUGGCGGUAGGCCUAACACAUGCAAGUCGAACGGCAGCACAGUAAGAGCUUGCUCUUACGGGUGGCGAGUGGCGGACGGGUGAGGAAUACAUCGGAAUCUACUUUUUCGUGGGGGAUAACGUAGGGAAACUUACGCUAAUACCGCAUACGACCUACGGGUGAAAGCAGGGGAUCUUCGGACCUUGCGCGAUUGAAUGAACCGAUGUCGGAUUAGCUAGUUGGCGGGGUAAAGGCCCACCAAGGCGACGAUCCGUAGCUGGUCUGAGAGGAUGAUCAGCCACACUGGAACUGAGACACGGUCCAGACUCCUACGGGAGGCAGCAGUGGGGAAUAUUGGACAAUGGGCGCAAGCCUGAUCCAGCCAUACCGCGUGGGUGAAGAGGCCUUCGGGUUGUAAAGCCCUUUUGUUGGGAAAGAAAAGCAGCAGGUUAAUACCCCGCUGUUCUGACGGUACCCAAAGAAUAAGCACCGGCUAACUUCGUG
rnacentral:rRNA from 1 species